UGGGGAAUAUUGGACAAUGGGCGAAAGCCUGAUCCAGCCAUGCCGCGUGUGUGAAGAAGGUCUUCGGAUUGUAAAGCACUUUAAGUUGGGAGGAAGGGCAGUAAGCGAAUACCUUGCUGUUUUGACGUUACCGACAGAAUAAGCACCGGCUAACUCUGUGCCAGCAGCCGCGGUAAUACAGAGGGUGCAAGCGUUAAUCGGAAUUACUGGGCGUAAAGCGCGCGUAGGUGGUUCGUUAAGUUGAAUGUGAAAGCCCCGGGCUCAACCUGGGAACUGCAUCCAAAACUGGCGGGCUAGAGUAGGGCAGAGGGUGGUGGAAUUUCCUGUGUAGCGGUGGAAUGCGUAGAUAUAGGAAGGAACACCAGUGGCGAAGGCGACCACCUGGGCUCAUACUGACACUGAGGUGCGAAAGCGUGGGGAGCAAACAGG
rnacentral:rRNA from 1 species